rnacentral:rRNA from 1 species
AUUGAACGCUGGCGGCAGGCCUAACACAUGCAAGUCGAACGAGUGGCGGACGGGUGAGUAAUGUCUGGGAAACUGCCUGAUGGAGGGGGAUAACUACUGGAAACGGUAGCUAAUACCGCAUACUAUCAGAUGUGCCCAGAUGGGAUUAGCUUGUUGGUUGGGUAACGGCUCACCAAGGAGACGAUCCCUAGCUGGUCUGAGAGGAUGACCGGCAACACGGGAACUGAGACACGGUCCAGACUCCUACGUGAGGCAGAAGUGGGGAUUAUUGCACAAUGGGCGCAGGCCUGAUGCGGCAAUGCCGCGUGUAUGAAGAAGGCCUUCGGGUGGUAAAGUACUUUCAGCGGGAAGGCGUUACCCGCAGAGGAAGCACCGGCUAACUCCGUGCCAGCAGCCGCGGUAAUAC